CUACAGACGAAGCAGGACAAGUCACUUGCACGGAGUUCAUUCAUCUUCAGCAAGGACUUAUUUAGCGACUGUGUGCCAGGAUUUGUGGUAGACCCGGGAUUACAUAAGCUGGCAUGGAAAAUUUCUUGUAGCUCCCUUCCAGAGUUCUCCUGAGCCAGACUGUAACUCAGAUCGGUACUGCCUGCUACGCAUCGAUGCUUCAGUAGAACAAUAAAUCUAGACUCCUCGCAGAGUUAAAUCGCCAAGGGAGAAGCAGGGGUGCUGCCAGCUGGCGCCGCAAACCACACAGGCUUCUACGCAGGUUGUGCAUGCAUGAGUUUUCCAAGGGAAUCCCAAGCCAGAAAGGCUAUGUUGCAGGAAGUCCAACGUAUGUGGUGCAGGUCCUAGACAAAGCAUUACUGAUUUCACCAAAGUCUGCAUGAAAUCAGCUGCGACAACAAAGGAUGAUGAAGACUUCAGAAAAUGUGCUCCUAUUAUCUCUAUUCUUUGUAAACUUAAAGAGCAACGUGGCGGUUUCUGGACUAAGACUCACGGGGCCCAAAUUCUUACCUUUGUGCAGCCACCAACUCAGUGUGUCAUGGUGACACUGGACCAUUGGGCCUCAGUUUACCCAUCUGUAAAAUGA
rnacentral:lncRNA from 1 species